AAGGCUUAAAUGUAGAUUGACCGGUUUGGAAACAGAUCUUUCGCAAGACAAUUUACAAGGUGCUGCAUGGUUGUCGUCAGCUCGUGCCGUGAGGUGUCAGGUUAAGUCCUAUAACGAGCGCAACCCCUGUUGUUAGUUGCCAGCGAGUCAUGUCGGGAACUCUAACAAGACUGCCAGUGCAAACUGUGAGGAAGGUGGGGAUGACGUCGCGGCAUUAGCCA
rnacentral:misc_RNA from 1 species